GGCCUUGUUUAGUCCAAAAAAUUUUGCAAAACAGGUACUGUAGCACUUUCGUUUGUAUUUGACAAAUAUUAUCCAAUCAUGUACUAACUAGGUUUAAAAGAUUCGUCUCGUCAAUUUCGACCAAACUGUGCAAUUAGUUUUUAUUUUUGUCUAUAUUUAAUAUUCUAUGCAUGCGUCUAAAGAUUCGAUGUGACGGAGAAUGUGAAAAAUUUUGCAAAAUUUUCUGGGAAGUAAACAAGGCCGAGAUGGAAAACGAAGGGACCAAUAUCGUCGUGCGCCCGGCCCUAGACGGCCCAAUAAGGCCUUGUUUAGAUGCGAAAUGUUUUUGGAUUUUGAUACUGUAGCACUUUCGUUUUUAUUUGACAAACAUUGUCCAAUCAUGAAGUAACUUGUCUUAAAAGAUUCGUAUCGCGAUUUACAAGCAAACUGUGCAAUUAGUUUUUAUUUGCAUCUAUAUUCAAUAUUCCAUGUAUGUGCCACAAGAUUUGAUGUGAUAGGAAAUCUUAAAAAGUUUUUAGUUUUUGGAUAAACUAAACAAGACCUAAGACAUCGACACAAGCUGAUCAGAAUCCAAAACGAAAAAUCCACUCAACUUUCGUACAAGUACAUUUUUUUCCCUAGAUUUUAAAAUCAGGCAAAACGUCUCACUUGACUUUUAAAAUCGUUUAUCUUACCUCUUUGACCCUGUUAUAAGCGGUUUUGAAGAUAGUUUUGUUUUUUUUCUUUUUAUUUAUUUCAGCUGAAUCUUUAAAAAAAAUCUAUAGUAAAUCACAGAAAAAUCAUAAAAUAAAAAUUUAAUUUUAUUAGACUCCACAUGAGUACAUCUACAUAGUGAAAUAUAAUAUGGUAUGGUUUAGUAUAAAAUUUUUGCUAUGGUUUAAAAUCUAUGUUUUUUAAUUAAAUGAAAUAAUCUAUAGCUGCAAUUUCUAUGGUUCAAUAGUGAAAUUUUUAUGAUGGUCUAAUUAUUGGAUGUUUAAAUUGUAGUAAAAAUUUUAUACUCAUUAGGUCAUAUAUAACUUUGUUAUAGAUUUUAUUUGUAUU
rnacentral:lncRNA from 1 species